rnacentral:rRNA from 1 species
CACGCCGUAAACGAUGAGUACUAGGUGUGGGAGGUAUCGACCCCUUCCGUGCCGGAGUUAACGCAAUAAGUAUCCCGCCUGGGGAGUACGGCCGCAAGGCUGAAACUCAAAGGAAUUGACGGGGACCCGCACAAGCGGUGGAGUAUGUGGUUUAAUUCGACGCAACGCGAAGAACCUUACCAGGGCUUGACAUUGAGUGAAAGACUAAGAGAUUAGUUCCUCAUCUUCGGAUGACACAAAAACAGGUGG